AUUGAACGCUGGCGGCAGGCCUCACACAUGCAAGUCGAGCGGAGCGGCGGACGGGUGCGUAAUGCCUAGGACUCUGCCUGGUCGUGGGGGAUGACGUCCGGAAACGGGCGCUAAUACCGCAUACUCUCAGAUGAGCCUAGGUCGGAUUAGCUUGUUGGUGGGGUAAAGGCCUACCAAGGCGACGAUCCGUAACUGGUCUGAGAGGAUGAUCAGUCACACUGGAACUGAGACACGGUCCAGACUCCUACGGGAGGCAGAAGUGGGGAAGAUUGGACAAUGGGCGAAAGCCUGAUGCAGCCAUGCCGCGUGUGUGAAGAAGGUCUUCGGAUUGUAAAGCACUUUAAGUUGGGAGGCGUUACCAGCAGAAGAAGCACCGGCUAACUUCGUGCCAGCAGCCGCGGUAAUUC
rnacentral:rRNA from 1 species